rnacentral:rRNA from 1 species
UCAGGACGAACGCUGGCGGCGUGCUAACACAUGCAAGUCGAACGGAGAUUUAGCAAUAGAAUCUUAGUGGCGAACGGGUGAGUAACGCGUAGGCAAUCUGCCUUCUAGAUGGGGACAACAUCCCGAAAGGGGUGCUAAUACCGAAUGUUGUAACGACUUCGCAUGAAGUUGCUACUAAAGGUGGCCUCUGAAUAUGCUACCGCUAGAAGAUGAGCCUGCGUCUGAUUAGCUAGUUGGAGGGGUAACGGCCCACCAAGGCUUCGAUCAGUAGCCGGUCUGAGAGGAUGAACGGCCACACUGGGACUGAGACACGGCCCAGACUCCUACGGGAGGCAGCAGUGGGGAAUCUUCCGCAAUGGACGAAAGUCUGACGGAGCAACGCCGCGUGAGUGAAAGAAGGUUUUCGGAUCGUAAAGCUCUUUCGUCAGGGACGAACGUGUUUCUUGUAAAUAAUGAGAGACAGUGACGGUACCUGAAUAAGAAGCCACGGCUAACUACGUGCCAGCAGCAGC